rnacentral:rRNA from 1 species
GCGCGCGAUACAGGGUGACAGCCCCGUACACAAAAAUGCACAUGCUGUGAGCUCGAUGAGUAGGGCGGGACACGUGGUAUCCUGUCUGAAUAUGGGGGGACCAUCCUCCAAGGCUAAAUACUCCUGACUGACCGAUAGUGAACCAGUACCGUGAGGGAAAGGCGAAAAGAACCCCGGCGAGGGGAGUGAAAAAGAACCUGAAACCGUGUACGUACAAGCAGUGGGAGCACGCUUAGGCGUGUGACUGCGUACCUUUUGUAUAAUGGGUCAGCGACUUAUAUUCUGUAGCAAGGUUAACCGAAUAGGGGAGCCGAAGGGAAACCGAGUCUUAACUGGGCGUUAAGUUGCAGGGUAUAGACCCGAAACCCGGUGAUCUAGCCAUGGGCAGGUUGAAGGUUGGGUAACACUAACUGGAGGACCGAACCGACUAAUGUUGAAAAAUUAGCGGAUGACUUGUGGCUGGGGGUGAAAGGCCAAU